rnacentral:rRNA from 1 species
CCAAUCGAACCCGGAGAUAGCUGGUUCUCCUCGAAAUAGCUUUAGGGCUAGCCUCAUACGAGUCUUGCGGAGGUAGAGCACUGAAUUCCUAAGGGGGCGUCAAAGCUUACUAAGGGAUAUCAAACUCCGAAUGCCGUGUAGAUGAUGUAUGGGAGUCAGACGAUCCGAGAUAAGUUGGGUGGUCAAAAGGGAAAGAGCCCAGACCAACAGCUAAGGCCCCAAAAUGUGUGUUAAGUGGAAAAGGAUGUGGGAUUUCGAAGACAACUAGGAUGUUGGCUCAGAAGCAGCCAUCCAUUCAAAGAGUGCGUAAUAGCUCACUAGUCGAGAGGUCCUGCGCCGAAAAUGUCCGGGGCUGAAACACACUGCCGAAGCUUUGGAAUUGAUGAAUUUCAAUUGGUAGAGGAGCAUUCUUAAAGAGACGAAGCAGUACCGGAAGGAGCUGUGGAUUUUUAAGAAGAGAGAAUGCCGGAAUGAGUAGCGAGAGGAAGGUGGGAAUCCUUCCGGCCGAAUAUCUAAGGUUUCCAGAGUAAAGCUGAUCUGCUCUGGGUAAGUCGGGGCCUAAGGCGAGGUCGAAAGACGUAGUCGAUGGAUAACAGGUUGAAAUUCCUGUACUAUCCUGUAACAGAACUGUGGGGACACAGGCAGAGAGCGUGAGCCGGGAAUGGAAAGACCGGUACAAGCGAGGUAGGAGAAGAGUUGGCAAAUCCGCUCUUCAAUCUGAAGACGUGAUGUGGACCGAAAAGAAGUAGGGAAGCACGUGAGCUGACUGUCAAGAAAAGCCGCUAUUGUUUGCAGGAUACCCGUACCGUAAACCGACACAGGUGGAUGAGGAGAGAAUCCUAAGGCCGACGGGAGAAGCAUUGUUAAGGAACUCGGCAAAAUGACUCCGUAACUUCGGGAGAAGGAGUGCCAGUAAGAUGGCCGCAGAGAAUUGGCCCAAGCAACUGUUUAGCAAAAACACAGGUCUAUGCAAAACCGAAAGGUGAGGUAUAUGGGCUGACGCCUGCCCGGUGCUGGAAGGUUAAGAGGAGAGGUUAGCGCAAGCGAAGCUUUGAAUUUAAGCCCCAGUAAACGGCGGCCGUAACUAUAACGGUCCUAAGGUAGCGAAAUUCCUUGUCGGGUAAGUUCCGACCCGCACGAAAGGCGUAAUGAUUUGGGCACUGUCUCAACAAUGCACCCGGUGAAAUUGAAAUACCAGUGAAGAUGCUGGUUACCUGCGCCAGGACGGAAAGACCCCAUGGAGCUUUACUCCAGCUUGAUACUGGGAUUCGGUAUUGCAUGUACAGGAUAGGUGGGAGGCUAGGAAAUGGUAACGCCAGUUGCCAUGGAGCCGCUGUUGGGAUACCACCCUUGCAGUACUGGGUUUCUAACCAGCAGCCGUGAUCCGGCUGGGGGACAAUGUCAGGUGGGGAGUUUGACUGGGGCGGUCGCCUCCGAAAGGGUAUCGGAGGCGCUCAAAGGUUCCCUCAGAAUGGUUGGAAACCAUUCGAAGAGUGCAAAGGCAGAAGGGAGCUUGACUGCGACACCGACGG